UGCCAGCAGCCGCGGUAAUACGGAGGGUGCGAGCGUUAAUCGGAAUUACUGGGCGUAAAGAGCACGUAGGCGGCUUGGUCAGUCGGAUGUGAAAGCCCUGGGCUUAACCUGGGAAUUGCACUCGAAACUGCCAAGCUAGAGUUUAGUAGAGGAAUGCGGAAUUCCGGGUGUAGCGGUGAAAUGCGUAGAGAUCCGGAGGAACAUCAAUGGCGAAGGCAGCAUUCUGGGCUAAAACUGACGCUGAGGUGCGAAAGCGUGGGGAGCAAACAGGAUUAGAUA
rnacentral:rRNA from 1 species